AGGACUGAGACUAAGGAGAUCUUGGCCCACAGGGGCUCCCCUGGGGGCACUGCCCAGGAGACAGGGGAGGAGACUAGACUAGGGCCUCCAAACCUGCCACUCGCCAGAAAGGACUUUCCAAAUGGAAAAAGCCACGGGGACUGUUGCUGUCAGUGUCGGAAGUUCUCCCUGCUGUCUGCCCUCAAGGCUUCCCACUGUACUGCCCUGGCCCUGGGCUCACCUGAGAUUGCUGGGGAAAAGAAAGGGUCAACCGGGAGGUUUAGACACGUGGAGAAGGAGUGUGCCUGGCUCUACCAGUUGGAACUGGGAUCAGAAGUGGAGCUGAGGAGGCUGGUCCAGGGAGAAUGCAGUGCUAAGAGACGAUGCUGCUGACAAGCCCGGCCUCAGGCUGGAGUCAGACUGCCCUGAUAUUACAUUACUGAGGCAGUGUAACUUUGUGAAAAGAACACUAGGCUAAGGCUGACAACACCAAAUGCUGGCAGGAAUGUGGAGCAACAGGAACAGGAAUUCGUGGCUGAUGGGAAUGCAAAAUGGUACAGCUACUUUGGAAGAAAGUGUGGCAGUUUCCUAAAAAACUAAACAUACUCUUACCAUACGAUCCAGGAAUCAUGCUCCUUGGUAUCUACCCAAAGGAGAUGAAAACUUACGUCCACAUGAAAAUCUGC
rnacentral:antisense_RNA from 1 species